rnacentral:misc_RNA from 1 species
GGCGUCCAAACCGAAUCUGGCGGCGGAGGAUUGGGGAAAGAGAAGGGGGGUGGCGGCGGGGGAUUGGAGGAAGAAGAGAAAUGAUUGGUUUUGAAAUUGUAAAGCAUAUCGGAGGUGGUUGUGUAGGGUUUUGUGUCGCGGUCGUGGUUAAAGGGUUGAUUAUUGGAGAAGCAGGUCACGCGUGAUGCACGUGGGUCGGGGUUGUAGGGCGUUUGAGAUUGGGAAUAUUCCAUGAGCGGCGGCAGCGCAGGGGAGUCCCGUUGGGUGUGGAAGGGAUUAUUCAGAGUUGCUUUGUCCGCAGAGCUUUUGUUGAAGAUUCGACAAAUCACCCAUUCGUUCUUAGCGGGUUUGAGAAUUAGAGUUGGAGAAAGGGGGAAUUUGCCUUCCAAACGAAAUUCGUGCAUAACCCAAUUAGAUUUCUCCCCUUUUGGAGCUCUUCCUGUGUAAAACACCAAAGUUUUCUUCAUACCCACA